rnacentral:lncRNA from 1 species
CAGCAUUCAAAUACAAUAACAACUUUUAUUGGUAUAUUUAUUUUUUCCAACCCGCAAGGGUCCGGCCACCAACCCCCACCCUCAUUCUGCACAUGUUGCCGCAGGUCAGGUUCAUACGCCAAGCCCCGAAAACAAAAUCAAAUCAUCAAAACGAAUUUUCGUUCCAUCGCAGUUCAGAAAGUCCGCACACCAACACAUACAUUACUUGCAGUGUCCGUGUGAAUCAAGACAAAACCGGUUUGGAGCGCUAAAAAAUCAUUGGCUACACGCACUUAUGCAAAUGUAGCUGGGACUUCUAGCUGCUUGUUCUACACUCACUAAUCCUUGUAGCUGGGACUUUGGCAGAAGCUUGGGACUUCGAGACGCACAUUGAGCGGUGACGUUUCGCUUUUAGGAAGCUGAGAGUCCACUACACUAUUUGGUUAGUGCUGGUACUCAGAUCGAAAAAAAACUUGCUAACAAAAUGUGCAAUAUAUUCAGCUAGCAGCAGAGUGUGACCAGAGGUGAAACCCGCAUUCAGUACGGUCACACUUCUCAGGGAGCUGUGUUGUUUUGUUUAUCUCUUUGAAAAUGUGUGAAAAUUGAGUAAAAGGUUAAUAACAAUUAAUGCAAAAUGGAUCCAUGCAAGAGAUUAUUUAAGUGUGACUGGGGGCUCUUGCCUGAUCGGUGGAGGAGGACAAUCAACGAAAUAUGCGACGGAAACUUUGAUUAAACCCAUAUCUGCAGGAAAGAAACCAGAGCGAUCGUUUGUCUAUACAUUUGAGUAUUAUAACUCAUAUAAAUAUGUGCUUAUUUAUGGAAAUCCAUGAAACGAUACCCUUUUCAUAUUCCGCAGUUUCAAAAUAUUACAGAGAAUUUGCAUUUGGCUGGGAAUAACAUUUGCAGACUUUUUUGAUUGGUGGAUCAGCAAGGAUGUGCCAAGGAAUAUUUGCGCCCGUUGCAAAGUUGUAAAACGGCGCCUCCAAGUACCCUUCCUAGUCAAAACUGGGUAGUUUUGAGUCCAAAUCGCCGCCUUCGCCCCUUGGCACGACCCUGUGGAGCAGUACUUGGUCCCAAAAGGAAAACAACUUAAAACAUUUUGUUAACAGCCCAGCCGGGUCUGUGUCAUGGCAACAUGAAGAUACUGGCGUUCAAAUAAGUUAAACAAAUUAGAAAUGCAAAUAAAUUCAAUAUAAGCUCAUUAAUCUAUAAUAAUUGUUAUUUUUUUUGCAGUUUGAUGGCUUGAAGCUCGUUUAGAAGGACGGUGGUCAUUUGUCUUUCAACUUCAGUGGCAUUGUUGCAUCUGUUUGAUUGAGACUAUACUCUCCGUUUGCUUGGAACCCUCUCGGAAAUUAAAACAGAUCUGUAUUUUUCGAGCUGCUAGCAGCAUACCAACGAAUACCACACAAAUACUAUGAAUACCACACAAAUACCAUCGAUACCACAAAAUACUAUCGUCUGGUUUUUUACAUUAUUUCGGCGUGUUUAUUUUGUCGAUCGGAGUAGAAAGUAACUUGUGCGCACAAAAAUUUCUUAUCGGUUUCAUACGAAUAUCAUCCCUGAUAUUUUUAGCGGCCCUUUUUUUUCGAUCUAAG